rnacentral:rRNA from 1 species
GACGAACGCUGGCGGCGUGCUUAACACAUGCAAGUCGAACGGUGAAGCGCCUUCCUUUUUGGUGGGUGUGGAUGAGUGGCGAACGGGUGAGUAACACGUGAGUAACCUGCCCCCUUCUUCUGGAUAACCGCAUGAAAGUGUGGCUAAUACGGGAUAUUCUGGGUCUGUCGCAUGAUGGGUCUGGGAAAGAUAUUGUUUCGGUGGGGGAUGGGCUCGCGGCCUAUCAGCUUGUUGGUGGGGUGGUGGCCUACCAAGGCGGUGACGGGUGGCCGGCCUGAGAGGGUGGACGGGCACACGGGGACUGAGACACGGCCCGGACUCCGACGGGAGGCAGCAGGGGGGAAUAAUGCACAAUGGGCGCAAGGCUGAUGCAGCGACGCCGCGUGAGGGAUGGAGGCCUUCGGGUUGUGAACCUCUUUCGCCAGUGAAGCAGGCCUGCCGCGUUUGUGGGUGGGUUGACGGUAGCUGGAUAAGAAGCGCCGGCUAACUACGUG